rnacentral:lncRNA from 1 species
AUUUAUUGGUUUAAAGAAAUGUACAUCUGGUCCUAUUCAAAAAGGUGUGCUCGACUUGAGUGGCUUCGCACGUGGUGUUUGGAAUUUAAAUGUUGUUUUAUUGGACUUUUUGUAAACAAUAAAUGUUACCUGGUCAUAGAAGGAGAGAAAACCCUCUAUUAAACUGUAUAGAAAUUCUUCCUCAACCUUGGGUUAAUUUUCGCUAAGGAUUUUCUUAUCCCAGGCUUAAAUUACCUUGGCCGUAUUUGGCACAACUGUUCGGAAUUUGGAUCCUCAAU